UGCAGAGGGGGCAAGCGUUAUUCGGAAUUAUUGGGCGUAAAGGGCGCGUAGGCGGCUUGGCAAGUGGAAGGUGAAAUCCCUCGGCUUAACCGAGGAACUGCCCUCCAAACUGCUUCGCUUGAGACCGGGAGAGGUGAGUGGAAUUCCCAGUGUAGCGGUGAAAUGCGUAGAUAUUGGGAGGAACACCAGUGGCGAAGGCGGCUCACUGGACCGGUACUGACGCUGAUGCGCGAAAGCGUGGGGAGCAAACGGG
rnacentral:rRNA from 1 species